ACCACCAUCACGCUGCUGAUCAUUCCCGCACUGAGAGCCACCAACCAGCUGUCCUUGGGGAAAACCUACAAAAAGGGGAAAGUAUUGUUAGGCUGCAUUCUGAGCAUGACAGGAGUGAGUUUCCAACAGGGAUCAUCAUUAGCCUACCCCUUCAUAGCAGCUAGGUCUAAUUUUAGCUCUGCGAAACAGAGGAAUGGCUCUAAAAUUAGCACCUGUGUUACAACACACAACAGCAGCAGAAGUCUAACCAGUUUCUAAUGUGCCUUUCACCAUGCUGGCAGACACUGGCCUGAGCUCAUAAAAGCAAACAGAUGUUACCAAGGAACCAUGGAGGACAAACAGGCCCGCAGCAUCAGACAUCCUCCCCCGUGUAUAACAACAGAACAAAUUGUUUUAUGACUGAAAUCUUUGGU